rnacentral:lncRNA from 10 species
GGAUCAGGCGGAAGCCGGGGCCCGGGGCUGGGCUUCGUGUCCUGCGUUCCGGGAGCGCCAACCCCUCCAGGGAGAGGCUGUCGAUGCUGAGGCACGAGAGAAUUUGCUCCUGCUCCUCCAGAGAAAAUGGCUGGGACAGGCUGUUGAGGAAUAAUUCUGCAGGGAAAAGUGGAAGAUGGCUGUGAAAGACUGGGAGGAGGCUGGCUGUGUUUUCAGGGGUUCUUCCUGCACAGUCGGUAGAAGCUGAGCUGCUGGGGAAGGGGCUGGAAGAAAGCCCACACCGCAGCUGCUGCAGUUCCUGCUCCGGGACGGUUGCUUUCCGCUCUGGUAUCAGUAGCAAAUUCAAAAACUACAGAAUCAGCUCCAGAGGACUUUGUUAACAAGAAAGAGAAGAUUGAAAACAGCCCUGGGGCUACACCAACUCAAGAGCUCCCAGGCAAAGUGGCAUCCUGGACCCACCAUCUCUCCUACCCCAUCCUCAGUCGGUACUUCCCCAGGCACCGUUUGUUCUGGCAUGGGGCUAGUUCAGCCCUGGGACCACCCUCAUCCUUAUAACUACCAGCUGUCUUUGGUGAGGUGCAAGAUCUCUCUGGUUUUCUUUAUUUCAUUUUCAUUCCUAUAAUCACAGCCUUUUUUGUGCCCAUCCCUCAGGUGACAUUCUAUUAUGUUUGAUGUGUCAUUUUUGAUUUGGUUGUGUCCUUGCAAAAUGUGCGUUGUUUUAUUUAUCAAUUUAUUUUUAUUUUUAUUUUUUUAAAGAGAUGAGGUCUCAUCAUGUUGCCCAGGCUGGACUCCAACUCCUGGGCUCAAGCGAUCCUUCCACCUCAAUCUUCUGAGUGGCUGGGACUACAGAUGUGCGCCACCAUACCUGGCUAUUGAUCAAUUUUUAGUUUACCAAACAGGCAUUAUGUUCUGGGUCCCAUUCUGUGUCGGGUUCUCUUUUCACUCGGCACCAUGGCUUUAGGAUCCAUCCAUGCUGCUCUGUGAACGCCGAGUUGCUUUAACUGCUUGGUGCUCCAUGAGGCAUCCCCUUUUGUGUCUCUGUCCUCCCAGUGAGGGACCCCAUCGUACCCUACUCCCCUCCCACAAAGGAAGCUGUAGUGCGCGUCCUCAGGCGUGUCCCCAUAUGGAUCUGCUGGCAUUCGUUUGUCAGUGCACCCAGGGGUAGAAGUCCUUGGUCUCAGUCUGCAGACGUCUGCCUGAGUGCAGCCAGGUGCCCCCCCAGAGUGGGUAGCCUUGUCCACAUGCCCAUCAGCAGCACCUGAGGGGUCCCAACAGCCCUACAUCCCACCAACUUUCUGCUUUUUUCCAGUCAAAUGGCUCUUGAGUGUUACCUGGCUUUAUUUAUUUAUUUAUUUUUUGAGUCGGGUCUCUGUUGCGCAGGCUGGAGUGCAGUGGUGCAAUCAUGGCUCACUGCAGCCUCGACCUUCCAGGCUCAAACAAUCCUCUCACCUCCUGAGUAGCUAGGACUACACGCAUGUGCCACCAUGCCUGGCUAAUUUUUAAAUUUUUUUGCAGAGAAAGGGUCUUGCUAUGUUGCCCAGGCUGAUCUUGAACUCCUGGCCUCAAGCGAUCCUCCUGCCCCAGCCUCCCAAAGUGCUGGGAUUACAGGUGUGAGCCACUGCUCCCGGCCUGUCUUUAUUUUGUAUUCUUGGAUUCCUAGUGAGUUUGAGCCCCCUCUAUACAUCAUAACCCUUAUGAUACUAGUAAACAUAUAUUUUAUCUUUAACCCCAUUUCUGGCACAGAACUCCUAAAAGCCUUACUCUCCAAAAUGAUCUCUUUCUGUGUACUAAUGGAUUGACUGAAGGCUGGCAGCCCCUAGGUAGCUUCAAGAUGGGGGCUGGUCAUCAGAGAGACAUAGGCAGGAUUAGAGGGUUGGGACUUUCAUCCCACCAUCCCACGUACUGGGAGGGAAGGGGGCUAAAGGUUAAGCGGUUCGCCAAUGGCCAGUGAUUUAUUCAAUCAUGCCUACGUAAUGAAGCCUACACAAAAACCCAAGAAGACCGGGUUCAGAGAACUUCUGGUAGCUGGGCACAUGGAGGUUCCUGGAGGGUGCCAAGCCCUGGAAGCUCUGUGCUCCCUCCCACAUGCCUUGCCCUAUGCAUCUCUUCAUUUGUAUCCUUUGUAAUAUCCUUUCUAAUAAACUGGUAAAUGU